UAGCGGGCGUCGCCGCGAACUAGUGGUGUUCCAGUCAAGAGCAGAACUCAGUUGUAUGGUUGUGUACAACGAGCGUGCUGACUUUCGUUUUUUUAAAUCCUGUUCUAUCGUGGCCGUUACGAGGAACUGUUUUUACUUUUUGGUGUUCACAAUCAAUUUUUUACGGGAAUAUUUCGAUGAAGAGGACUAUCAUCAUCGAAAUACACUCUCAAUACUUCGUUUUUAAGAUAAGCACGUUUUAUUUUUAAGUACUUUUAACCGACGUGAAAGAAAGUUCUUGUCAUUACUUCGUUUUUGUUGUAUGAACUGAAGUUUGUUUAUCGAUAUUUAGAACAGUAUACUUGGAAUUUUCCGUAGGCGAAGGAUAGUGUUUUAUUAAUUGUUAAUAAGAAACGUUAUUUCUAUUUUUUACCGAAUACAGGUAAAUGAACUUUGCAUUAAGUUGUUACACGUAUUGAAUUCAGUGCACAAACUUCUCCGUGGCUGGCGGUUACAUUAGGCAGAAAACGUGACGCCUUCUUCGGGUAUUGAACUUUGACCUGCCGGUGGAUCAGUGUUGGUAACUUAUCCACAAAGUGAGGUUAGGUCAAGGUCAAACGUGGGUGACUUUCAGAAAGGCUGACUAAUAGUCGCUCAAGAUUGUGUGCAAAAAGCUGAGGUUUCACAUAUCUGACUUGCGUAAAAGUGACGUCACUUUCACGGACACUAUACGUAAAUUAUUUUGAAAACUACAACAAUUUUUUAUAUCAAUGUUGUGACGUCGGUUGUGAAACUUUCCCUUCAGACUCAUCACCGUCUUCUUGUUCUCCACCGUCAUCGACGAUUUUGAAACAAGGGAGGAACAGAACCAUAUCUUUGAAGAAAUCAUCAAGGCUGCGCAUUCCUCACGUACUACUGUCGGGACAGCGCCGUCAACGCUCAAAACGCUCUGCAUGAGAAACGCACCUUGCCAGGGGUCUCCUGACCUCCUCGUGACCUCUACCCCUCGCUAAGGUCUCAUCACACCCAACCGUGUUCAUCGGUUGGGUUGGGGGUCGUGGUGGUGGUGGAGGAGGAGGUGGCGAAUUUCUUCUUCCACUCCUUCAGUAUUCAUCCUCAAAUACAACUUCUUGCUCAAAAAAAAAGCCCACUCAAAAAAGAUAUAUCUUACAAUCAUCUGCAACUACACAAAACUUCGCAAAUGGU